rnacentral:rRNA from 1 species
GAGUCGAUCCUAAGCCAACUGUGAAAGCAGUGACAUCCCGACAAAGGGGCAGUUCGUGGUGUUGUAGCGGCCACACGCGUUAGCGGGUGCACAUUCGCAAGUCUCCUCUCUCGUCGUCGUCUCUGGUUGCGCUCUCGAGCGCUGGUUGUUGGAGAGAGAAAACGAGACAGUGCCACCACGCGCGCGCCUCUGUGCGUUCGUUGUCACACACACACGGAUCCCUGCGUCUGGUUCUAUGUCUGGCGAAAGGGAAUGGGGACUUUGUUCCUUGACCGGUCCCGGCACCCUCGAUAGGCUUUGCCAAUCAAUGGUCCAUGCAAAUGGAACCAGGCCACAGCCGCCGGCAGUCGCC